rnacentral:rRNA from 1 species
ACGGGUGAGUAACACGUGGGAACAUAUCCGCUGGUGGGGGAUAACUACGCGAGAGGGUAGCUAAUACCGCAUAAGCCCGAAAGGGGAAAGGUGCAACAGCAUCGCCAGUGGAGUGGCCCGCGGCCCAUCAGCUAGUUGGUGGGGUAAGAGCCCACCAAGGCGACGACGGGUAGCCGGCGUGAGAGCGCGACCGGCCACAAGGACACUGAGACACGGGUCCUACUCCUACGGGAGGCAGCAGUGCGGAAUAUUGGACAAUGGGCGAAAGCCUGAUCCAGCGACGCCGCGUGCGGGACGAAGGCCUUCGGGUCGUAAACCGCUGUGGUAAGGGACGAAUAGCCGGUGGAGUGGAAAGCCACCGGAGGAGACGGUACCUUACUAGGAAGCCCCGGCUAACUACGUGCCAGCAGCCGCGGUAAUACGUAGGGGGCGAGCGUUACCCGGAAUCACUGGGCGUAAAGGGAGCGUAGGCGGCCCAGCAAGUCGACUGUGAAAAACCGGAGCUCAACUUCGGUCCUGCGGUCGAAACUGCUGGGCUUGAGGACAGUAGAGGGAGACGGAACUGCCGGUGUAGGGGUAAAAUCCUUAGAUAUCGGCAGGAACGCCGGUGGCGAAGGCGGUCUCCUGGGCUGGACCUGACGCUGAGGCUCGAAAGCCAGGGGAGCGAACGGGAUUAGAUACCCCGGUAGUCCUGGCCCUAAACGAUGCUCACUAGGUGUGGGGUGCGUAGAGCACUCCGUGCUGAAGCAAACGCGAUAAGUGAGCCGCCUGGGGAGUACGCCCGCAAGGGUGAAACUCAAAGGAAUUGACGGGGGCCCGCACAAGCGGUGGAGCGUGUGGUUUAAUUCGAUGCUAAGCGAAGGACCUUACCAGGGCUUGACAUGCUGGUGGUACUGAACCGAAAGGGGAAGGACCCACCGUUAGGUGGGAGCCAGCACAGGUGGUGCACGGCCGUCGUCAGCUCGUGCCGUGAGGUGUUGGGUUAAGUCCCGCAACGAGCGCAACCCCUGCCCCUAGUUGCCAGCGGUUAGGCCGGGCACUCUAGGGGGACCGCCGCCGACGAGGCGGAGGAAGGGGGGGAUGACGUCAGGUAUCGUGCCCCUUAUGUCCUGGGCGACACACGCGCUACAAUGGGGCGGACAGCGGGGAGCGAGGCAGCGAUGCUGAGCAAAUCCCUGAAACCGUUCCUCAGUUCGGAUUGCAGGCUGCAACCCGC